UACGAAGGGGGGCUAGCGUUGCUCGGAAUUACUGGGCGUAAAGGGCGCGUAGGCGGACAGUUUAGUCAGAGGUGAAAGCCCAGGGCUCAACCUUGGAAUUGCCUUUGAUACUGGCUGUCUUGAGUACGGGAGAGGUGAGUGGAACUCCGAGUGUAGAGGUGAAAUUCGUAGAUAUUCGGAAGAACACCAGUGGCGAAGGCGACUCACUGGCCCGUUACUGACGCUGAGGCGCGAAAGCGUGGGGAGCAAACAGG
rnacentral:rRNA from 1 species